CCCCUCUCAGGAGGGCACCUGGAGGGUUUCCAGGACUCUACCAGUCUUGGAUGUGGGAGGGAGCGAAAGUCAAGCAGAGGCAUACCCAUUCCAUUCCUAGCUUGGACAGUGGAUAAAGAGUGGAAGGCAAUCUGCUACAAGU